CGGGGGGGGCAAGCGUUGUUCGGAAUUACUGGGCGUAAAGGGCUCGUAGGCGGCCAACUAAGUCCGACGUGAAAUCCCCAGGCUCAACCUGGGAACUGCGUCGGAUACUGGAUGGCUUGAAUUCGGGAGAGGGAUGCAGAAUUCCAGGUGUAGCGGUGAAAUGCGUAGAUAUCUGGAGGAAUACCGGUGGCGAAGGCGGCAUCCUGGACCGACAUUGACGCUGAGGAGCGAAAGCUAGGGGGAGCAAACGGGAUUAGAUACCCCGGUAGUCCUAGCCCUAAACGAUGAAUGCUUGGUGUGACGGGUAUCGAUCCCUGUCGUGCCGAAGCUAACGCAUUAAGCAUUCCGCCUGGGGAGUACGGUCGCAAGGCUG
rnacentral:rRNA from 1 species